GGGGGGAGCAAGCGUUGUUCGGAUUUACUGGGCGUAAAGGGCGCGUAGGCGGCCACCGCAAGUCACUUGUGAAAUCUCCGGGCUUAACCCGGAAAGGUCAACUGAUACUGCGGGGCUAGAGUGCAGAAGGGGCAACUGGAAUUCUCGGUGUAGCGGUGAAAUGCGUAGAUAUCGAGAGGAACACCUGCGGCGAAGGCGGGUUGCUGGGCUGACACUGACGCUGAAGUGCGAAAGCUAGGGGAGCGAACGGGAUUAGAUACCCCGGUAGUCCUAGCCUUAAACGAUGAAUGCUUGGUGUCUGGGGUUUUAUAGUCCCCGGGUGCCGUCGCUAACGCUUUAAGCAUUCCGCCUGGGGAGUACGGUCGCAAGACUG
rnacentral:rRNA from 1 species